GCAACUCCAAGAAAAGAGGUAUAUUGAGCUAUUUUAGCUAAUAUUACCCUAAUAUUGUCACUCCAAUGGGCUGGCUAAAUGGCCCCCUAUUUUCCCUCGUCCCUUCUCCGCUGGCUUCAAUUGGAGAGUGAUUGAAGGCUCUCCAAACACGUCUCUCCCGCGAAAUCGAUCUGCUCCUUCUCCAAACACGUCUCUCCCGCGAAAUCGAUCUGCUCCUUCAGCGCGAAAUCGAUCUUCUCCUUCAGCGCUGUCUGCAACUCCCUCCAUCUGACCUCUUCCUCAAGUGGCUGCUGUUUUGGUGUUCUGGGUGGAUUUUAGGUGACCUGGGAUGAUCUGGUACAUUGGUGGUGAAUGGGUUACACUGGUGAAUGGGUCUUAUUAGCAUAAGGUUCCCCUGCUGUCUUUGUAUCUAUUGUUGCAAGCCCUACUGCUGCUUCUGUUCCUCUGCUGCUGGUUUUGUCAGCUUUGGUGUUUGUGUGUUUUCUGUGUAUUUGUUGGUACCACACUAACAUAGAUAAAAUAGAUACAAUACUCUUCCCUCUUUCAUUUUUUUAAACAUUUCGGAUCAUAUUUUUUUAUUUUUUUAGAUAGAACAUUUCGGAUCAUGUUAAAAUGCCUCACAGUUCAAAAAAAAAAAAAAAAAAAAA